rnacentral:rRNA from 1 species
AACGAACGCUGGCGGCAGGCCUAACACAUGCAAGUCGAGCGCCCCGCAAGGGGAGCGGCGGACGGGUGAGUAACGCGUGGGAAUAUGCCCUUUGCUACGGAAUAGUCUCGGGAAACUGGGGGUAAUACCGUAUACGCCCUUUGGGGGAAAGAUUUAUCGGCGAAGGAUUAGCCCGCGUUGGAUUAGGUAGUUGGUGGGGUAAUGGCCUACCAAGCCGACGAUCCAUAGCUGGUUUGAGAGGAUGAUCAGCCACACUGGGACUGAGACACGGCCCAGACUCCUACGGGAGGCAGCAGUGGGGAAUCUUAGACAAUGGGGGCAACCCUGAUCUAGCCAUGCCGCGUGAGUGAUGAAGGCCUUAGGGUUGCAAAGCUCUUUCAGCUGGGAAGAUAAUGACGGUACCAGCAGAAGAAGCCCCGGCUAACUCCGUG